rnacentral:rRNA from 1 species
GAUGAACGCUGGCGGCGUGCCUAAUACAUGCAAGUCGAGCGAACAGACGAGGAGCUUGCUCCUCUGACGUUAGCGGCGGGCGGGUGAGUAACACGUGGAUAACCUACCUAUAAGACUGGGAUAACUUCGGGAAACCGGAGCUAAUACCGGAUAAUAUAUUGAACCGCAUGGUUCAAUAGUGAAAGACGGUUUUGCUGUCACUUAUAGAUGGAUCCGCGCCGCAUUAGCUAGUUGGUAAGGUAACGGCUUACCAAGGCAACGAUGCGUAGCCGAUCUGAGAGGGUGAUCGGCCACACUGGAACUGAGACACGGUCCAGACUCCUACGGGAGGCAGCAGUAGGGAAUCUUCCGCAAUGGGCGAAAGCUUGACGGAGCAACGCCGCGUGAGUGAUGAAGGUCUUCGGAUCGUAAAACUCUGUUAUUAGGGAAGAACAAAUGUGUAAGUAACUAUGCACGUCUUGACGGUACCUAAUCAGAAAGCCACGGCUAACUACGUG